rnacentral:rRNA from 1 species
UUCGGCGGCCAUAGCGAGAGGGAAACGCCCGGUCCCAUUCCGAACCCGGAAGCUAAGACUCUCAGCGCCGAUGGUACUGCAAGGGGGACCUUGUGG